AUGCCCUGUUUCCUGAAGUUUGUGUCAUUUGUGCUUGUUGUUCUCUGUCGGCUCUCGUCCAGCUAUGACUUUGCACGCAGUGGAUCGAAGAACUUCGACCUCCGGACAGUGGUCCUGCUCAUCAUCGGUGGCAGCAUCCUGAUAGCCAUAAUCAUACUGACCGGCAUUGUCAUAGGCCUGUACGUCAAAGUGUCCAAAGUGCUGAUAGCUGCAAAGGAACUUUUGUGUGUAAACAGUCAUUUAGCCAAGGACACGCAGGACCACAUCAUUCCUGUGAAAGCUUUCACCACGGAUUCCUGUCGUGCGCUCCCAUGCUGUGACGACUGUAACGUGUAUGCGAAUUUCGAUCCCCUGCCACCUUGCUCCUGUGCAACCAACGAGGGACUCUGACUCGGGAAAUGUGGGCACUAAAAUCUUCAUGAGCAGUAUUUCCCUCUUAUUAGAAUGUCCUACUAUCCAAUCAGGUUCUGUAGUAUUUACAUUACACGAUUUCUGUACAAUGUUAUUUUAUGUGCUUUUGAGUAAAUGUAUGGUAUUAAAGAGAACCUGUGUCUAGUGUCGCAUUCGCUGUCAACAUCCCUGUUCAAGAGUACGCGUUACCCACGAGGACCUGGAGCAAGGUGUUGGGGCCGUUACGCUGCCAGGAAGAAGGAGAGCCCGCGAGGACAGUCCCUGUUGGUCUUGGGGCGUUUGCAGUCUGAGCCCUGGCCAACUGUGCCAGGCUGGGGUGGAGCGCCGGGCUCCUGCCCCCCACCCAGCUCCUCCCUGCAGACUGUGCUGCGUUGUCCUGAAGGGGGCGCCAUGGGUUGGGCGAGACGGAGGUCAGGCAGGCAGGACAUCUCUGGUGAAAAUGGUCUGCCCUGGUCCUGAUGGGGCUGAGCUCAGCGUCCUCAAGAGAACUCAGAAGACCUGCGAUCCCUCCUGCUCACGCCUGCCUUCGCCCUGACAUGGGUCUGUGCUGACCUGGCCACCCGUGUCUGCAGUGGCCCGGGGACCUCCAGCCCAAGGCGAAAGCCCAGGCUCCCUUGACCACAGCGGGGGCAGUGCUUCUGCUCUGCAGCCCCCUGUGUCCUGGCUCCUUCCGCGGAGCCUCCCGGAGCACACACUGGUCAGCAGGGACAGUGGACUCCUCC
rnacentral:lncRNA from 1 species